CAGCCGCCGCGGUAAUACGUAGGGGACGAGCGUUGUCCGGAAUUACUGGGCGUAAAGGGCGCGUAGGCUGUGCUGCAAGUCAGCUGUGAAAUAUCUGGGCUUAACCUGGAUAUGCGGAUGAGACUGCAGUGCUGGAGUGCUGUAGAGGCAAGUGGAAUUCCCAGUGUAGCGGUGAAAUGCGUAGAUAUUGGGAAGAACACCGGUGGCGAAGGCGACUUGCUGGGCAGCAACUGACGCUGAGGCGCGAAAGCCAGGGGAGCGAACGGGAUUAGAUACCCCGGUAGUCCUGGCCGUAAACGAUGAAUGCUAGGUGUGGGUGUAGAGAUACAUUCGUGCCGGAGUUAACGCGAUAAGCAUUCCGCCUGGGGAGUACGGUCGCAAGAUUGAAACUUAAAGGAAUUGGCGGG
rnacentral:rRNA from 1 species